rnacentral:rRNA from 1 species
UACGUAGGUGGCAAGCGUUGUCCGGAUUUACUGGGCGUAAAGAGCGCGCAGGCGGUCGUGCAAGUCGCGUGUGAAAGCCCCCGGCUCAACUGGGGAGGGUCACGCGAUACUGCUCGACUCGAAGGCAGGAGAGGGAAGUGGAAUUCCCGGUGUAGUGGUGAAAUGCGUAGAUAUUGGGAGGAACACCAGUGGCGAAGGCGGCUACCUGGACCGGAACUGACGCUGAUGCGCGAAAGCGUGGGUAGCAAACAGG